UAAGGAAUAUUGGUCAAUGGAGGCAACUCUGAACCAGCCAUGCCGCGUGAAGGAUUAAGGCCCUCUGGGUUGUAAACUUCUUUUAUAUGGGAAGAAAUGUUCUGAUUCUUCAGAGCUUGACGGUACCGUAGGAAUAAGCACCGGCUAACUCCGUGCCAGCAGCCGCGGUAAUACGGAGGGUGCAAGCGUUAUCCGGAUUCACUGGGUUUAAAGGGUGCGUAGGUGGGCAGAUAAGUCAGUGGUGAAAUCUUCCGGCUUAACCGGAAAAUUGCCGUUGNUACUAUUUGUCUUGAAUAUUGUGGAGGUAAGCGGAAUAUGUCAUGUAGCGGUGAAAUGUUUAGAUAUGACAUAGAACACCAAUUGCGAAGGCAGCUUACUACAUAUAAAUUGACGCUGAGGCACGAAAGCGUGGGGAUCAAACA
rnacentral:rRNA from 1 species